GACGAACCGUGCGAACGUUAUUCGGAAUCACUGGGCGUAAAGGGCGCGUAGGCGGCUUGGCAAGUGGAAGGUGAAAUCCCUCGGCUUAACCGAGGAACUGCCCUCCAAACUGCUUUGCUUGAGGCCGGGAGAGGUGAGUGGAAUUCCCAGUGUAGCGGUGAAAUGCGUAGAUAUUGGGAGGAACACCAGUGGCGAAGGCGGCUCACUGGACCGGUUCUGACGCUGAUGCGCGAAAGCGUGGGGAGCAAACGGG
rnacentral:rRNA from 1 species